GUGCCAGCAGCCGCGGUAAUACGUAGGGCGCAAGCGUUAUCCGGAAUUAUUGGGCGUAAAGAGCUCGUAGGCGGUUUGUCGCGUCUGCCGUGAAAGUCCGGGGCUCAACUCCGGAUCUGCGGUGGGUACGGGCAGACUAGAGUGAUGUAGGGGAGACUGGAAUUCCUGGUGUAGCGGUGAAAUGCGCAGAUAUCAGGAGGAACACCGAUGGCGAAGGCAGGUCUCUGGGCAUUAACUGACGCUGAGGAGCGAAAGCAUGGGGAGCGAACAGGAUUAGAUACCCUGGUAGUCCAUGCCGUAAACGUUGGGCACUAGGUGUGGGGGACAUUCCACGUUUUCCGCGCCGUAGCUAACGCAUUAAGUGCCCCGCCUGGGGAGUACGGCCGCAAGGCUAAAACUCAAAGGAAUUGACGGGGGCCCGCACAAGCGGCGGAGCAUGCGGAUUAAUUCGAUGCAACGCGAAGAACCUUACCAAGGCUUGACAUGAACCGGAAACGCCUGGAGACAGGUGCCCCGCUUGCGGUCGGUUUACAGGUGGUGCAUGGUUGUCGUCAGCUCGUGUCGUGAGAUGUUGGGUUAAGUCCCGCAACGAGCGCAACCCUCGUUCUAUGUUGCCAGCACGUGAUGGUGGGGACUCAUAGGAGACUGCCGGGGUCAACUCGGAGGAAGGUGGGGACGACGUCAAAUCAUCAUGCCCCUUAUGUCUUGGGCUUCACGCAUGCUACAAUGGCCGGUACAAAGGGUUGCGAUACUGUGAGGUGGAGCUAAUCCCAAAAAGCCGGUCUCAGUUCGGAUUGGGGUCUGCAACUCGACCCCAUGAAGUCGGAGUCGCUAGUAAUCGCAGAUCAGCAACGCUGCGGUGAAUACGUUCCCGGGCCUUGUACACACCGCCCGUCAAGUCACGAAAGUUGGUAACACCCGAAGCCGGUGGCCUAACCCCUUGUGGGAGGGA
rnacentral:rRNA from 1 species